CGUUGGGAGCAGUUUGCAUAUGCUCCGGAAAACCGAAGGAUCUCUGCAAAAACUGCAUCCUUGCAGGUAUCAGCGACCGGCUUCGAGACAUUGGCUACAACAGCGCCCUCUGCAAGUCCAAAUGGAGGAGAUCGAUCGACAUCCUUUCAGUUACGUUGAUGUAGCGGUAGACACCAAAACGGGCCAUGACAGAGUAGUGAUCGAUCCCAGUUUUCAA
rnacentral:misc_RNA from 1 species